rnacentral:rRNA from 1 species
GACGAACGCUGGCGGCGUGCCUAAUACAUGCAAGUUGAGCGCUGAAGGUUGGUACUUGUACCGACUGGAUGAGCAGCGAACGGGUGAGUAACGCGUGGGGAAUCUGCCUUUGAGCGGGGGACAACAUUUGGAAACGAAUGCUAAUACCGCAUAAAAACUUUAAACACAAGUUUUAAGUUUGAAAGAUGCAAUUGCAUUACUCAAAGAUGAUCCCGCGUUGUAUUAGCUAGUUGGUGAGGUAAAGGCUCACCAAGGCGAUGGUACAUAGCCGACCUGAGAGGGUGAUCGGCCACAUUGGGACUGAGACACGGCCCAAACUCCUACGGGAGGCAGCAGUAGGGAAUCUUCGGCAAUGGACGAAAGUCUGACCGAGCAACGCCGCGUGAGUGAAGAAGGGUUUCGGAUCGUAAAACUCUGGUGGUAGAGAAGAACGUUGGUGAGAGUGGAAAGCUCAUCAGGUGACGGUAACUACCCAGAAAGGGACGGCUAACUACGUG